UAAACAAUCAGAUAAAAGGAAAACUUUUGC
rnacentral:piRNA from 1 species